rnacentral:tRNA from 1 species
AGGGAUUUAGCUCAGUGGUGCAGCAUCUGCCUGACAAGCAUGAGGUCCUGAGUUCACUUCCCAGUACCCCCA